rnacentral:rRNA from 1 species
UACGGAGGAUGCAAGCGUUAUCCGGAAUGAUUGGGCGUAAAGCGUCCGCAGGUGGCUGUGUAAGUCUGCUGUCAAAGAGCGAAGCUCAACUUCGUAAAGGCAGUGGAAACUACACGGCUAGAGUGCGUUCGGGGCAGAGGGAAUUCCUGGUGUAGCGGUGAAAUGCGUAGAGAUCGGGAAGAACGCCAAGGGCGAAGGCACUCUGCUAGGCCUGAUUUCGCGACUGACACUCAGGGACGAGAGCCAGGGGAGCGAAUGGG